CAAAGGUACACAUCCUCUCUGAGCUGAUGUUUGCACCCAGAUGUACAACCUGUGGAGUGAGGUUGCAGUCCAAAUUGUUGACUGUGGGGAACUCUGUAAUUUGGGGGUCCCCCUGAGUCCUGAGGGAGGAGAGGGCUGUUAUAGCUGCAGGUGUGCCCUGUUCAAGGAGCUGCUUGAGCAUGGCCAGGCUGCAGAGUGAAACCAGCAGCUUGAGGAGAUCCCGGGAAUCUGAGGGAGAUGGAUAGGAGGUAAUAUGAACCUACUCCUACUGGCAGCCAGCUCCUGGGUCCCAGCAAGUGAAAGUAGCCAAUCCAGCUGCUCAGCUACAGGACAGAGGGCUAGACAGUCCAUAAGAGGAAAGGGGUUGCAUCCUCUUCUCUGCUUGAAGCAGAAGUACUGCCUCCAGCACCUACAGUCUCACCAACCUCUGCAGUGUACCUGAGUAAUAGAUUUGAGGUUCUCGGGCCGGACAGGGAUGAGGGUCUGGAAAACAGUCCUAACCCAUGCCCUGAGAAGCAUGUUGAGAGUACAGGGAGUGACAAGUACAGUGAGCAGGGCUGGUCAGGGCAUCAAUAUCAAUGCCACCAAAAAAGGGCGGAGAGUCUUAGUAAUUGGGGACUUCUUUCUGGGGGCCACUGAGGCUCCCAUUUGCUGCCUGGAUAAUCUCUUCAGAGAGGCCUGCUGUCCUCCAGGAGUGUGUGAUAGAGACGUUAGAAAGGCUCUACCACAGCUCAUUAAACCAGAAAACUGCUGUCCUUUUAUUUUUGUUCAAGCUGGAUCCCAGGAUGCUGCAGUAAGGAAACUAAAGUAUGUUAAAAAGGAUUUUUCAUCCCUUGGAAAGAUGUUGGGGGAUAAGGGGUGCAGGUAGUGUUCUUCUCUGUCCUUCCAAUGGGUAGCUGGGACCCAGAAAGAAGGAGAAGAACAUGUCAGGUAAAUGACUGGCUGAGGGGGUGGUGUCUUGAUAAAGGAACUGGAUAUUUUGAUCUUGGGUAGGCCUUUGAGAAACUGAGUAUGUGGACUUCUGGUGGACUGUGACUGAGCAAGCGGGGCACAAGUGUUCUGGGGAGCAAGCUCUCUGAAUUGAUUACCAGGACAUUAAAUUAGGUUCAAAGGGAGAAGAGAGAGGAGUUAGAUGUGACAGAGAAGGGCUGAGUAAUGUUGUCACUGUUGAAGAUUGCAGGUAAAAACCUCUGGGUUGUCCCAUAGGACAAUCCUGAUUGUGUACAGCCGCAGGGCCAUGAUCUCUAUGCAAUCACAGAGAUGUGGUGGGACAGCUCGCAUGAAUGGAAUGCUGCCAUGGAGAGCUAUGUCCUUUUUAGGAAAGACAGGCUGGGGAAGCGAGGUGAAGGAGUUGUCCUUUAGGUGAGAGACCAGCUAGAAUGUAUUGAGCUCCACCUUGGAGAAGGUAAAGAAUGUGUGGAGAGCCUGUGGGUGAAAAUUAAGGGGUGAGCUGGUAUAGCUGACCCCAUUGUGGGAGUGUACUACAGGUCAGCAGAUCAGGAGGAUGAGGUUGAUGAGGCCUUCUACAAGCAGCUGAAAGUAGUCUCGUGCACUGGUUCUCAUGGGAGGUUUUAAUUAUACAGAUAUCUGUUGGGUAAGCAACACAGCCAGGUAUGUGUGGUCCAGGCAACAUUUAAACAGCACUUCUUCCAAGCUCAAGAUCGGUGCAUCCCUAAGUGUAGGGAACUGGGGAAGGGAGGCAGGACACCUGUGUAGAUGAGCAAGGAGCUCAUGGAUAACAACACAAAGUCAGUGAAAAGUUACCCCAGUGUAAGACAGAAAAAACAGAUCCCCUUGUAUCUAAGCAGACAUAAAUUAAAGUUUGUUUCAAGCAUUAAGUAGGAAAUAUAUGAUUUCUUAACUUAGAUGUAAAAAAGUUAGGCCAGAUUUCUCUUGACAGCAAAAGAGACCAUUUUUCUCUUCAGUUUCUUCAGUAGUAAAAUCAGACAGAGGAUCAUCCAGUUUCUCAGCUGUUGUAUUGAUUCCAGUCAAACUAACUCUUGGAAAUGUUUCAUGCAGGGACAUGGAUGUUUCUGUAGACUACAAAUAAAGGUUUCUUGAGCAGAAGGAAAAAAUCUCUGCUUCCACGACAAAAUCACUGAACUUGUUUGUGCUUGUUUAUGAGCUGGUAUGAUUAGGCAUGUACCCUUAUUUUACUGAAAAUUAGUAAAGUAAUAUUGAAAAUUAUUCAUUUUAGGUGGAAAUACUUGGCACUAAUAGAAUGUUAGUUGUCAUUUGUUUUCACUGUUGUGACUGUGACUACCAGACCAGUUAAAAAGUUGCAAGCUAUACAUGAAGAAAUUCACCCAAAUCCUCAGCGUAUAUUGCCAGUGUUGAACAUAAAAUGUUGAGUCUGUGUAACCAGCUGACCUGGAAAGCACAGUACUGUACACCUUUUGUCCACAUCUCAAGCUCUCUAAAGAGUGGGAAAAAAACACUGAGGAAGUGAUAGUGAAGAUGUGAUUUAUUUCCCCCCCCCCAGGAAUUUGGAGAAAGGAAUGAAGGUCCAAUUAUCAGUGCUAGAAGAAUGAGGAAUAAUGAUCUCAUACGCAGGGAUUUUUCAUUGUAAGUUAUGCCCUAAUGCUUCCAUUUUAUAGUUGGGAAGAUUGAGACUUUGAAGAGUAAAGUUGUUCAAAACAACUCCGUAGAUGAUCCUAUCCCAUACUUGAACUGAGGAUGAAGACAGAAAGUUUUGUUGAAUUAUUAACUUUCUCUGCAACUCAAUUCUCCUGUUUAUGUGCUUUCUUAGGAUCAUUCUUGGGCAUGAAGAAGUGCUGGGAUAGAAUGUGUUGCUAUGGUAUUUCUAAUGUUUGCAGUUCAUCAUGUUCAUAUAUUAUCCUUUUUUGUUUUUGCUGGAUUUUCUUCGUAAAUACAUCUCCAUCAGACCUCUCCCAGGCAUAUAUUGUCCAGAUUCAUUCUGGAGGAAGAGCUGAAUCCAAUGGUAUGUUUUAUUAUGACUGAAAUUUCUCCUUCAGUCCAGAUUUGGUGGCAUGUUAUAACUUGAACACAAUAGUUAAUUAAAACUGAAUGUUAUUUAAAAAGAAAACUAUUUCUAGUGGCAUUUCUUAAUCAGUCCAAAUCCUGUACCACUUCCUACCAGGGAGAGGAAGUACUCAUCCUCUUCACUGGAAGAAGAGAUUCCAUAUUUAGAAACAAGGCUAGAGAGCUAUACUUGCUUUAGGGUGCCUGUGUUGCAGCAAGUGAGUGGGAACAAGGGGAUAGAGGAAAAAUCUGCAACAAGAGAAUGGGAAGAGGAUAGAAGAAAAUGAAACUAUUAAAGUGGAAAAAGUGAAGGUCAGAAAUUUACAGUGAGGAAGACUACGUGCUUUCGCAACUAAGACUACGAG